rnacentral:sRNA from 1 species
UUUUACAUUAGCUAGGUGUGGUGCUGCACAUCUGCAGUCUCAGCUUCUCGGGAAGAUCGCCUGAGCCUGGGAGUUCGAGGCUACAGUGAGCUGUGACUGUGCCACUGCACUGCAGCCUGGGUGACAGAGUGAAACCCUGUCUCUAAAAGUUAAAAUUAAAACGCAAACUUAAAUGUGCCAAAAUGUUGUUUUUUAGACAUGCAAGAAAGCACUUCAGCCAAGCAGAAGGGAGCCAGCUGGACGAGGUGCGCCAGGCCAUGGGCAUGCUGGCCUUCCCGCCCGACACGCACAUCUCCCCGUACAAGGACCUUCUGGACCCUGCACGGUGGCGGAUGCUGAUCCAGCAGUUCCGGUACGACAACUACCGACUACACCAGCUGGGAAACAACUCUGUGUUCACCCUCACUCUGCAGGCCGGCCUCUCAGCCAUCAAGACACCGUAUCCUACCUCCCGUGCGCAGUGCGGUUUGGCCUGGGAUUGGCGUCUUUGGUCAUAUUUUAACACGCUGACCCUGCACCUUGCCACUCUUGUCCUCCCACCACAGACAGCCCCGAGCUCCCGUGUGCUGCACUUGCGUAGUGUCUGGAUGGUCGGGGUGGGGCCGUGUUGAGGGGCCUCGGAUGCGUCGUGCAGCCUUCACUCUGGGAAGUGGCGCGCUUCCUCUCUCAUCAUCUCAGAGGCCGCCAUGGGCAUUGAUCUAAAAGCCCGAUUUUGAUGUGUUCUGGCAGCCGGGAGAUUACCAUUCAGAAUAGUUUUCCCGUGUGAUUACCAAGAACCUUGCCUGUGACUGACUCUGCCCUGCCUGUGACUGACUCUGUCCCGCCUGUGACUGACUCUGUCCCGCCUGUGACCGACUCUGUCCCGCCUGUGACUCUGUCCCUGCCUGUGACUGACUCCAUCCUGCCUGUGACUCACUCGGCUCCCGCCUGCAACGGACUUGGUCCCUGCCUGCGACUCACUGUGGCCCUGCCUGUGACUGAGUCUGUCCCGUUUGUGACUGAUUCCUUCCUGUGACUGACUCUGUCCCACCUGCAACUGACUUCUUCCUGCCUGUGACAGACUCUGCCCCUGCCUGCGACUGAGUCUGUCCCUUCCUGCAACUGAGUCCAUCCCGCCUGUGACUCUGUCCUCGCCUGUGACUGACUCCGCCCCUGCCUGUGACUGACUGCCUUGGCCUGUGACUGACUCUGCCCCUGCCCUGUGACUGUCUCACCUGUGACUGACUCCGUCCUGCCUGUAACUCAGCCUCUUACUGACUCUACCCCUGCCUGUGACUGACUCUGCCCUCACCUGUGACUGACUCUGUCCCCACCUGUGACUGACUCUGUCCCCACCUGUGACUGACUGUCCUCCUGCAACUGACUCUGACCCCGCCUAUGAAUGUCUUUCAUGUGACCUGCCUCAGUCCCAGAGGGCAGUGAGUGUUUCGUGAUUGCCGCUGGUACCUGGCUGUGCCGGGGUAUGAGUGAGACUCAGGCCCCCUCCCUUGUCCCCUCUUUGUGGAACUCUGAGCGAGAGGGCUGGCGUGCUUGCCCACUGCCUGUUCCUAGGUGCCAGCAGAACGUCCCUGCUGGGUGGCUCUUGUCCUGCCUGGAGAGGUUGCGUGGCCGGGGAGAGGGCGGCGGGCGACGGAGCCACUCUGUGCUUGUGGUCCUGGUGCUGGAGGCCGGGGUGAGAAGGCGCAGGCUUCUUGUCUCCACCGAGGCCUCAGUGGGGCUGUUUAGCUGUCGAGUGCAGCACUUCCUGUGCCUCGAAAGACAGCCCCGUGUAGUCAGCAUGGCGCCCACAUAGCCAGAAGGGCACGCAGCCCAGGGCAGAGUGGCCACAGGGGGCUGGGCUCACCCCGGCUGCCCUGGGUGGCCCCCAACCCUUCCUUGACCCGAUGCUCAGACAGUGCUACAAGGAGGACGGCAGCUCCAAGAGCCCUGACUGCCCUGUGUGCAGCCGCUCCCUGAACAAGCUGGCGCAGCCCCUGCCCAUGGCCCACUGUGCCAACUCCCGCCUGGUCUGCAAGAUUUCUGGCGACGUGAUGAACGAGAACAAUCCGCCCAUGAUGCUGCCCAACGGCUACGUCUACGGCUACAAUUCUCUGCUUUCUAUCCGUCAAGAUGAUAAAGUCGUGUGCCCGAGAACCAAAGAAGUCUUCCACUUCUCACAAGCCGAGAAGGUGUACAUCAUGUAGGCCCCACGUCGUGAAGCGCACGCCUCGGGGACGGGCUGCAGCGGGCGGGGAGGCCACGCCUUCCUCCUGUCCCACGCUCCAGCCUGCCGCGGCGUUUCUGUCUCUUGCGACCAAAGAUCCGUGAGCAACGAUAAAUACUCUUAGGAAGAGAGAAAAUAAGGUUUCAUAAGUUUGUACUUGAAAACAUUUGGAUUGGUAGGAUUUUGUAACACGUCAACCAUUUGAUGCUUCUGAAAAGUACUUUCAACUUGCGAAGGAAACUUCUUUAAAGACUGACCUAAACACCGAGGGAAACUUUAGAACGUUUAAAAUAUAGGAGUGCGUGAUUUCCCUGUGUUUUCAGUUUCUUUCCUUCUGUGAACGAUGAGACUUGGAGAACGGGCUGGUCCUUCACCACUUCCUGUUGGCCCUGGCCCGGCCGGGGAAGGUGGCAGCGGCACUGGACUGACCUGCAGUGACCCGCGAUGCCGCGCCACGAGGGACACUUAUGGCUUCAUUCGAGAGCUGCUGCCAAAACGCCUGGCGCCGCCACCGUCAGGGGCUGGCUUCGAGGACGCCCGCCUGCCUCGCGGGCCGUGUCUGCGGGACUGUGUUCGUACGUGCAUAGUUUCGAUAUCACAUCGCGGGGCUGUGUUCGUAGCUGCGUCGUUUCGAUAUCACACCCUCUGUGUGCCGCCUUACUUCCUGCUUCGAGAAUGUAUAACGUGGAAAUCCACGGGACCAAGUUUCUGCAGAGGCCUUGCCGGAUGGUUCCAUAACUGUAGAGUCUAAUUGCUAUCCAUUACAGAAAUUAAUCGUUCAGUUGAAAGAAGUACUGAUGACUUUUCAAAACAAAUGAACCACCGUAGCUGACAGAGAACCGUAUCGUAGAGGUUUGUAGUUAGUGCUUAUUUUUGCAUGUUGAUGUUGACUAGCUAAUAAACUGUAAAUGUAAACCAUGCGAAUAAAAUGGUUUUCUAUUUCUCAUUUCCGUGUG